GCUAUUCUUGCUUACGUUAAAAAUUAGGGGGGAAUUAAAGCAACCGUACUUCAACAAAACUCCCUCCCUGUGAUAGGGGCAAGGGGAGUGUACUGUCAGUUCCAGGCAGCUAUCUAUGAGCUCCUGAAUUCACACUGUGCUAUUCCUACUGCCUGUAGCAAAGCAGGAUGGCAAUGAAAAUGAAAUGUGCUUCACACCCUCAGCCAGCAUGACCCAGUUAGCUUGCAGCAGACAUCAAUCAGGAUGUUUGCCUCUGCCUGUGACUGAACAACAAGCCUGCUCUAGUGUCCCUGGCUUGGCUCUUGCUUUGCCCCCCAUAUGUCUCCCAUUUGCAAUGUGUCACUCUCCUUAUGCUGCAUACUGUCUAGGUUGUGAGAUAGAUCAUUGAAAGUGCCAGCUCUUCCAAAGAUACCACUGGAUCAUAAGCAAAUGUUAUGUAAAGGAGAAGAGCUACCCUGGCUUAGGCAAACAGAUAUGAAAACAUGAAUAUCUUCCUGGAGAGGGAAUCUAAAAAGACAAGUCACAGGGAGCUACAGAUAGGAAGAAUGCAGUGGAAAAGAAAGCAGGAAAUUAAGAACAGCUAUAGUGGUGUCAGUCCUACUUUCCUGAAGUCCAAGGGAGAUGUGUCAGCAUCUACAAAUAAGAGCAAGAUCAAGACAUAAGAACUUAUCCAUAUUGGAUAUGCUGAUAUUAUCUGCUUUCUCAGUCACUUCAUUCAGCUAAGGAAAUAAUCAUGGUAAAAUGUGUCAUGUGCCUUCCCCAGGAACAAGUUCACAACAUCUGAGUGUUUUUGAUCUAGGACAUAAUUUUCCUCUGGUGUUACUAGCAAAAUCGGUGGUAUAACCUUAUGAGUCAUCUUGUACAGCAGAAGUUUUUGAACGUGUUCUGCUUCCUAAUGCUGUAUAACUUUUAAUAAGUCUUUUUCCAAAGUCCUCAGGCCCUAGGAAGCCAAUUUAUAACACAUCCUUUUUUAAAUGCAUGUGCCAGAAACCCACGCUUUCAGCAUGUCAAGAACAGGAGCCUGACAUUAAUUUCUUAAACCUGUAGCUUGGAUCCUAAAAUUAGAACCAGAAUUUUCAAGAGAUUUGAAAUCUAAAGAGCUUCAACUCAUUAUCAAGGUAUUACCCAUUUGGUCGUUUUAAAAAAUGAGAAAAUAACAAAAGACAGGGCUUGUAAUGCAGGAUUCAUU
rnacentral:lncRNA from 1 species